rnacentral:rRNA from 1 species
GAUGAACGCUGGCGGCGUGCUUAACACAUGCAAGUCGAACGAAGCACUUUUACAGAUUUCUUCGGAAUGAAGUUUUAGUGACUGAGUGGCGGACGGGUGAGUAACGCGUGGGUAACCUGCCUCACACAGGGGGAUAACAGUUGGAAACGGCUGCUAAUACCGCAUAAGCGCACAGUACCGCAUGGUAAAGUGUGAAAAACUCCGGUGGUGUGAGAUGGACCCGCGUCUGAUUAGCUAGUUGGCAGGGCAACGGCCUACCAAGGCGACGAUCAGUAGCCGACCUGAGAGGGUGACCGGCCACAUUGGGACUGAGACACGGCCCAAACUCCUACGGGAGGCAGCAGUGGGGAAUAUUGCACAAUGGGGGAAACCCUGAUGCAGCGACGCCGCGUGAGCGAAGAAGUAUUUCGGUAUGUAAAGCUCUAUCAGCAGGGAAGAAGAAAUGACGGUACCUGACUAAGAAGCACCGGCUAAAUACGUGCCAGCCGCCGCAGUAA